GCAGCGGUAGUUCAGUUGGUUAGAAUACCGGCCUGUCACGCCGGGGGUC
rnacentral:tRNA from 1 species